rnacentral:rRNA from 1 species
UGGGGAAUAUUGGGCAAUGGGCGAAAGCCUGACCCAGCAAUGCCGCGUGAGUGAAGAAGGUCUUCGGAUUGUAAAGCUCUUUGAUUAGGGACGAAAAAAUGACUGUACCUAAAGAACAAGCCCCGGCUAACUACGUGCCAGCAGCCGCGGUAAUACGUAGGGGGCAAGCGUUGUCCGGAAUUAUUGGGCGUAAAGGGUGCGUAGGUGGUUUAGCAAGUUGGAAGUGAAAUACCCAGGGCUUAACUCGGGUGCUGCUUUCAAAACUACUAGACUUGAGUGUGGGAGAGAAUAGUGGAAUUCCUAGUGUAGCGGUGGAAUGCGUAGAUAUUAGGAGGAACACCAGUGGCGAAGGCGACUAUUUGGCCCAUAACUGACACUGAGGCACGAAAGCGUGGGGAGCAAACAGG